rnacentral:rRNA from 1 species
GUCCACGCUGUAAACGAUGAUAACUCGCUGUUGGCGAUACACUGUCAGCGGCUAAGCGAAAGCGUUAAGUUAUCCACCUGGGGAGUACGGCCGCAAGGCUGAAACUCAAAGGAAUUGACGGGGCCCGCACAAGCGGAGGAGCAUGUGGUUUAAUUCGAUGGUACGCGAGGAACCUUACCAGGGCUUGAAAGUUAGUGACUGUUGCCGAAAGGUGGCAUUUCGCAAGAACACGAAACUAGGUGCUGCAUGGCUGUCGU